AUUGAACGCUGGCGGCAGGCCUAACACAUGCAAGUCGAGCGGAGCGGCGGACGGGUGAGUAAUGCCUAGGAAUCUGCCUGGUAGUGGGGGAUAACGACCGGAAACGGGCGCUAAUACCGCAUGCUAUCAGAUAAGCCUCGGUCGGAUUAGCUAGUUGGUUGGGUAAAGGCGUACCAAGGCGACGAUCCGUAACUGGUCUGAGAGGAUGAGCAGUCACACUGGGAAGAAGACAAGGUCCAGACUCCGACGGUAGGGAGCAGUGGGGAAUAUUGGAAAAUGGGCGAAAGCGUGAUCCAGCCAUGCCGCGUGUGUGAAGAAGGUCUUCGGAUUGUAGAGCACUUUAAGUUGGGAGGCGUUACCAACAGAAUAAGCACCGGCUAACGACGUGCCAGCAGCCGCGGUAAUAC
rnacentral:rRNA from 1 species